GAUGAACGCUGGCGGCGUGCCUAAUACAUGCAAGUCGAGCGAACAGAUAAGGAGCUUGCUCCUUUGACGUUAGCGGCGGACGGGUGAGUAACACGUGGGUAACCUACCUAUAAGACUGGGAUAACUUCGGGACACCGGAGCUAAUACCGGAUAAUAUUUCGAACCGCAUGGUUCGAUAGUGAAAGAUGGUUUUGCUAUCACUUAUAGAUGGACCCGCGCCGUAUUAGCUAGUUGGUAAGGUAACGGCUUACCAAGGCGACGAUACGUAGCCGACCUGAGAGGGUGAUCAGCCACACUGGAACUGAGACACGGUCCAGACUCCUACGGGAGGCAGCAGUAGGGAAUCUUCCGCAAUGGGCGAAAGCCUGACGGAGCAACGCCGCGUGAGUGAUGAAGGUCUUCGGAUCGUAAAACUCUGUUAUUAGGGAAGAACAUACGUGUAAGUAACUGUGCACGUCUUGACGGUACCUAAUCAGAAAGCCACGGCUAACUACGUG
rnacentral:rRNA from 1 species